rnacentral:rRNA from 1 species
ACGUAGGGUGCAAGCGUUGUUCGGAAUUACUGGGCGUAAAGGGCGCGUAGGCGGGCCUGUAUGUCGAUUGUGAAAGCCCCGGGCUUAACCUGGGAAUUGCAGUCGAAACUGCAGGUCUUGAAUGCCUGAGGGGAUGGCGGAAUUCCCGGUGUAGAAGUGAAAUUCGUAGAUAUCGGGAAGAACACCUGAGGCGAAGGCGGCUGUCUGGCGGUGCAUUGACGCUGAGGCGCGAAAGCGUGGGGAGCAAACAGGA